CUUCAAACUUGGGACUCUGUUAUCUUCAACUUGACCGGCUUUGCUGACUCUCGACCUCUCUUGGCAUGACCAUGGUCAGGAAGGAGGGGGCUGCUGUGAUUUCGCUGGGGAAGGAGUUCCAUAGCCGAGGGGACACCACUGAGAAGGCCCUGUUUUUCGU
rnacentral:lncRNA from 11 species